GCGAGUGUGGCAUAGUGGUUUGAGCACUUGACUAUGACUGCAGAGACCAGGGUUCAAUUCCCGCUCAGCA